UAUCGGUCCCCUCGCAACGACAAGUUGCAAACUCCGCCAGGCCCGGAAGGGAGCAACGGUAGCAAUGUAGUCGUGUGCCGAGGUGUGGCUGGUGGGG
rnacentral:SRP_RNA from 1 species